GACGAACGCUGGCGGUGUGCUUAACACAUGCAAGUGGAGCGACGAACCAGAGCUUGCUCUGGGGCAGAGCCGCGAACGGGUGAGUAACACGUGGGUAACGUACCCCGAUUACCGGGACAACCCGAGGAAACUCGGGCUAAUACCGGAUGUGCUCCCUCCCCAUGAGGGGAGUGAGUAAAGGAAGCUUCGGCCUCCGAAUCGGGAGCGGCCCGCGGCCUAUUAGUUGUUGGUGGGGUAACGCCUACCAAGACUGCGAUAGGUAGCUGGUCUGAGAGGACGAUCAGCCACACUGGGACUGAGACACGGCCCAGACUCCUACGGGAGGCAGCAGUGGGGAAUCUUGCGCAAUGCGCGAAAGCGUGACGCAGCAACACCGCGUGGGGGAAGAC
rnacentral:rRNA from 1 species